UGAGACUGGUUGAGACCACAGUUUGCAAAGUUGGAAAGGUCAAGUUGGAGAAAGGAAAAAGUUUUAUUGUCACAGUAAAGACAGCGGUGAGGACGGCGAAGAAGAAGGAGACAAAGAAGAAGUAGCAAUUUUGAUAAGACUGAGGAGCACUUCCUGGAAGUUGAGAAACGAUUAGAAGAACCCUUGUUCCGAACAGCAAUGAUCUCCCGGCUGUCUCAUGUUGGAGGGGAGGAUGUGCGGAACUGCACCAAAAGAAUCCUAGAUAGAAGCUGUAACAAUGCUAUUCGAAGGGGCCACAGAGCAGGACAUCAAUAAAGCCAUGGCUGAUCAUUUUAAACAUCCUCCGGCUUGAAGUGGUGGUGGAGGAUACAAAAAGAAAACCUCUGCAAUAAGAGGCGAUGAUCUCUGUUAACCAUCUGUCUCAUUGUUAAAGUUUGAGUUUGGCAGCAGGUUACUAUUAAUUGGGAAUC